rnacentral:rRNA from 1 species
AGCGAACGCUGGCGGCAGGCCUAACACAUGCAAGUCGAACGAACCUUUCGGGGUUAGUGGCGGACGGGUGAGUAACACGUGGGAACGUGCCUUUAGGUUCGGAAUAACUCAGGGAAACUUGUGCUAAUACCGAAUGUGCCCUUCGGGGGAAAGAUUUAUCGCCUUUAGAGCGGCCCGCGUCUGAUUAGCUAGUUGGUUGAGGUAAUGGCUCACCAAGGCGACGAUCAGUAGCUGGUUUGAGAGGAUGAUCAGCCACAUUGGGACUGAGACACGGCCCAAACUCCUACGGGAAGCAGCAGUGGGGAAUCUUGCGCAAUGGGCGAAAGCCUGACGCAGCCAUGCCGCGUGAAUGAUGAAGGUCUUAGGAUUGUAAAAUUCUUUCACCGGGGACGAUAAUGACGGUACCCGGAGAAGAAGCCCCGGCUAACUUCGUG